rnacentral:rRNA from 1 species
GUCUAUCACCAUACUACCCUGAAUGAACCUGAUCUUCUCUGAUCUCAGAAGCUACUCAGGGCCAGGCCUUAUUAAUACUUGGAUUGGAGACAGCCUGGGAAGACUUUUGAUUUUAUAGGAG